GGGGGUGCCCCGGUUUCGACUGAAGGCUGUCGGGGUGUAGACUGCAAGUAGAGCGUUAACUCUUUAAACUGUCAAAAAACAUAAUUGCAAACGAAGAAAACGAAUCUUUUGCACUAGCAGCAUAGUCUGCUAACGGACCCUUGCGUUGCUGUUCCUAAGCGCUUGGAAUCCGAAACAAUAGGGACUUACUACCGGUAAUGUUUACGGUACCGGAAGGACACUAAAGUAAACUAAGAAUAGACGGGUCGGCGGCUUCGCCUAAGUCUAACUGAAAUAAGUAGAAGCGGCUAAACUUGUAGAUGUUUAUUUCACGCCCUUUAGGACGCGGGUUCGAUUCCCGCCACCUCCAAUA
rnacentral:tmRNA from 1 species